rnacentral:rRNA from 1 species
UUUGUACACACCGCCCGUCACCCUUGGGAGUGGGGGAUACCAGAAGUAGAUAGGGUAACCGCAAGGAGCCCGUUUCCACGGUAUGUUUCAUGACUGGGGUGAAGUCGUAACAAGGUAGCCGUAGGGGAACCUGCGGCUGGAUCACCUCCUUU